rnacentral:lncRNA from 1 species
CCUUCAUCAGCGACUCAUGAUGCUCAUCUCUACAGCCCAGAGGACAUUUAAAGAACUAAAUAAAGAUAUAGAAGGCGGCCCCUUCUCUCAUCAGUAAGCCUUACCAUCUAAGGGACACUCUGGACAUCGGAAGAUUCCAAGUCGUCUCUUAUGGAGGAUUCAUCUGGCGACUCAGCAGUGCUCCUCUGAGGUGUGGACAGCAUUCCACACACAUUGGACAAAGACUGCUGAACCAGCCGAAAUCUACAGAUGAAGACUCCAUAAAAGUAACAAGCAAGGAAAA